rnacentral:rRNA from 1 species
GACGAACGCUGGCGGCGUGCUUAACACAUGCAAGUCGAACGGAAAGGCCUCUUUCGGGGGGUACUCGAGUGGCGAACGGGUGAGUAACACGUGAGUAACCUGCCCUUGACUUUGGGAUAACUUCAGGAAACUGGGGCGAAUACCGGAUAGGAGCUCCUGCUGCAUGGUGGGGGGUGGAAAGUUUCGGCGGUUGGGGAUGGACUCGCGGCUUAUCAGCGUGUUGGUGGGGGAGUGGCUUACCAAGGCUUUGACGGGUAGCCGGCCUGAGAGGGUGACCGGCCACAUUGGGACUGAGAUACGGCCCAGACUCCUACGGGAGGCAGCAGUGGGGAAUAUUGCACAAUGGGUGGAAGCCUGAUGCAGCAACGCCGUGUGCGGGAUGACGGGCUUCGGGUUGUAAAACGCUUUCGCUCAUGACGAAGCUUUGUGUGACGGUAGUGGGUAAAGAAGCACCGGCUAACUACGUG